rnacentral:rRNA from 1 species
UCCUAAGGGGGCCAUCGUUGUUCGGACUCAUUGUGCUUACAGGGUGCGUAGGCGGCUAUUUAGGUCAGGUGUGAAAGCCCCCGGCUCAACCGGGGAACUGCGCUUGAAACCGAGUGGCUCGAGUCAGCUAGAGGUACACGGAACUUCCAGUGGAGCGGUGAAAUGUGUUGAUAUUGGAAGGAACACCGGAGGCGAAAGCAGUGUACUGGGGCUGGUCUGACGCUGAGGCACGAAAGCCAGGGGAGCGAACGGG